rnacentral:rRNA from 1 species
GACGAACGCUGGCGGCGUGCUUAACACAUGCAAGUCGAACGGAGAGGCCCUGCUUUUGUGGGGUGCUCGAGUGGCGAACGGGUGAGUAACACGUGAGUAACCUGCCCUUGACUUUGGGAUAACUUCAGGAAACUGGGGCUAAUACCGGAUAGGAGCUCCUGCUGCAUGGUGGGGGUUGGAAAGUUUCGGCGGUUGGGGAUGGACUCGCGGCUUAUCAGCUUGUUGGUGGGGUAGUGGCUUACCAAGGCUUUGACGGGUAGCCGGCCUGAGAGGGUGACCGGCCACAUUGGGACUGAGAUACGGCCCAGACUCCUACGGGAGGCAGCAGUGGGGAAUAUUGCACAAUGGGCGGAAGCCUGAUGCAGCAACGCCGCGUGCGGGAUGACGGCCUUCGGGUUGUAAACCGCUUUCGCCUGUGACGAAGCGUGAGUGACGGUAAUGGGGAAAGAAGCACCGGCUAACUACGU